rnacentral:rRNA from 1 species
UGGUGGAGUGAUUUGUCUGGUUCAUUCCGUUAACGAACGAGACCUUAACCUGCUAAAUAGUUACACGUAACUUCGGUUACGUGGGCAACUUCUUAGAGGGACUUUACGUGUCUAACGUAAGGAAGUUUGAGGCAAUAACA